UGUAAAAUGAAGCAAUCAUUUUGGAGGAUACUGGAUCUCCAUCAAAAUGCAUCUUCAGGAAAGCUCGAUUAUUUGAGGAUCCAUCCAUGCAGCAAUACAGAGAUCCUCCUGGAUGGCCAUUUCAUCCAGAAUGAUGCCUCCAUAAUAUCCUGAUGUGGGUACGUUUUGGCGGAAAGCUUCAUUUUUCAUCCAUGUCAUCAUGUCAGGUAAAAUUCCAGGGCCCUGUUUCACACAAUUUUUGUAAAGACCAACCAGAGAUUCUGAAGGAAGUUGAAGCCAUUUCUGCUGUACAAUUUCUCUGUAAACACCCGGAUUCCUAUUGUAUAUGCUUAUUGACAUGCUAAUGAUAUCUUUAUCCCAACGCAUACCCUUUUUACUCGUGUUUGAUGCUUUGAUUUGCGAUUCCAUUAAUUUUAUUUGUUUCUCAGAUAGAUUAGGAGCUAGCAUUUUCAACUUAGAAUAAGUUUCAUCUAGUGAUUUAUCAGUAUCAGGACUAACAUUUUCUUUGUCUUGAUCAAGUUUUCUUUUUGUUGAAGAAAAGCAUGCUCUACAUUUCAAGCAUGCAGUUGAUGAGAGAUAUACCCCUCUAGUGCAAACUUUGGAACGAAGUGCAAAGUAGGAUUUUUCCUCAAGUGUGAUAAGUUCUCGGGAAGUUUUUGAAUUUAAUAACAUUUGACCAGUUUUAAUUUCAUCAUGAGUAUAACCUAGACAUGGUUGUAUGACUUUAAAACACCUGAAGAGGGCUGGUACUGAUGUGUAUGUGUAAAGAAUGUGAUGAGGAAUUCCAUACUGUUUCAAAUCAAGUGUCUGAUUGGCUAUUGCUGCUGACACAGACCCAUCACUACCUAGGGAAACCUGAAGUAUAAUACCCUGUCCAUUACUUUUUGCUGGUAGUAAAUGUCCCAAGGAUAUUUCUGUAGUGGUUUUGUGCAUGAUAAACCAAUCAACUGGCACAUUAUUUUGAAUAUCAGAGAAACUAAGUGCUGUAGAAUUGAUUUUGUCAUUGAUUUCCAUUCUGAAACUGACUUUCAUAUUUUUGUCCUCACAUCUCAGUCUGACUUUUGAUUUCACAAUAUUUGGAAAAAGUGUAGGCAACAAAAGUGUUAGAGUCUUUGUGCUAAUUUUUUCAUCUUCUCCACAAGAUUGAUUUAUUUUCUCAAUUAAUUCUUGAACUGGUGUAUUAUGCUGCUCAGAUAAUAGAAUGUGUUCUGAGAGCCUAAAAGGCAAUGUAAAAAUUGAGUUUAAAAUAUUUGUAUCUCAAAGUACAUUUAAAAUAUUUUACUUUGAAAUUUGUGUAUCACAAUUACAUGCAGACAAGGCUGAUUUUUACUCAAUUUGUAAACAAUUCUAGACAUUUAUAAAGGCAAAGAUAAAUUGAAUGAACAUGUUAUUUACCAUGUUUAUAGGUUAUUUACAUAUAUUUACUCAACUGAAAUAAUAAACAGUGAUUUCUA